rnacentral:rRNA from 1 species
AGAGAGAGACAUGCGCGCAUAUCAAUAAGCGGAGGAAAAGAAACUAACAAGGAUUCCCUUAGUAACGGCGAGUGAAGCGGGGAAGAGCUCAAAUUUGAAAUCUUCAAGGUUUUACCUUGACGAAUUGUAGUUUAAAGAAGUGUUUUCUGCUGAAGUUUUGGUAAAAGUUCUUUGGAAUAGGACAUCAUAGAGGGUGAGAAUCCCGUAUUUGACCAUUAUUUUCCAGCUUUGUGAUACACUUUCAAAGAGUCGGAUUGUUUGGGAAUGCAGUCCAAAAUGGGUGGUAAAUUUCAUCUAAAGCUAAAUAUUGGCGAGAGACCGAUAGCGAACAAGUACCGUGAGGGAAAGAUGAAAAGAACUUUGAAAAGAGAGUUAAUACAGUACGUGAAAUUGUCAAAAGGGAAGCGUUUGACACCAGUGUUGUUUUCUCGAAAAUCAAUUAAAAAUGGCUCGAUUUUGUAUUGUUGAGACCUUAAAAGCUCACUGUACAUUUUUCGUGUCUUUUUUAAUGCACUUUUCGUUUAACAAGUCAACAUCAGUUUCUUUUGUUGUAAAAGGGUCAUUGGAAGGUGGCUUUCUUUUCGGAGAAAGUGUUUAUAGCCUUUGGCCUCUGCAAUCGAAGAGACUGAGGUCUGCAGCGUAGACUCUUCGGGGUUAGAUACAUUUGUGCUAAGUUAUAGCCUUUUAUAGACAACUUGUUGACUAUGAUUAGUCAUUGUAGCUUACUCGCUUAUGCUAUUUUACCUACGCUUAGGAUGUUGAAGAUGUAGCACAUCA